rnacentral:snoRNA from 1 species
CGCACAUUCCUUAGAUCCCUCAUCAUAGAAAGGGUAGGCCAGACCAUCGGUCUGUUGCCGUAGCUCUUUCUCCCAGUCUUCGCUGGGUAUUGGUGAGGCAUGAGUCAUAAAUGUGCAAAAUCAGUAUACCUCUUUUGCUGCCCUAUGUGGUGGUCGUUGCUCGCUAAUUUCUGGCAGCCUUAACUUCGACCACCGCGGCGUUCAAGGGACAUU